GACGAACGCUGGCGGCGUGCUUAACACAUGCAAGUCGAACGGAAAGGCCCUGCUUUUGUGGGGCGCUCGAGUGGCGAACGGGUGAGUAACACGUGAGUAACCUGCCCUUGACUUUGGGAUAACUUCAGGAAACUGGGGCUAAUACCGGAUAGGAGCUCCUGCUGCAUGGUGGGGGUUGGAAAGUUUCGGCGGUUGGGGAUGGACUCGCGGCUUAUCAGCUUGUUGGUGGGGUAGUGGCUUACCAAGGCUUUGACGGGUAGCCGGCCUGGGAGGGUGACCGGCCACAUUGGGACUGAGAUACGGCCCAGACUCCUACGGGAGGCAGCAGUGGGGAAUAUUGCACAAUGGGCGGAAGCCUGAUGCAGCAACGCCGCGUGCGGGAUGACGGCCUUCGGGUUGUAAACCGCUUUCGCCUGUGACGAAGCGUGAGUGACGGUAAUGGGUAAAGAAGCACCGGCUAACUACGUG
rnacentral:rRNA from 1 species